rnacentral:tRNA from 1 species
GGGCCGUUAGCUCAGUUGGUCAGAGCAGUCGACUCAUAAUCGAUUGGUCACAGGUUCAAGUCCUGUACGGCCCA